UACAGAGACUGCAAGCGUUAUUCGGAUUCACUGGGCGUAAAGGGUGCGCAGGCGGCCAAGUGUGUCAGGUGUGAAAUCCCGAGCGUUAACCUCGGAACUGCGCCUGAAACUACUUGGCUAGAGUACUGGAGAGGGUAACGGAAUUCACGGUGUAGCAGUGAAAUGCGUAGAUAUCGUGAGGAACACCAGAGGCGAAGGCGGUUGACCUGGACAGUUACUGACGCUCAGGCACGAAAGCGUGGGGAGCAAAGGG
rnacentral:rRNA from 1 species